UUACGUCCUUGAUGGAUACACACACUGAACCGUUUAAAAGAAAAGGGUUGUUUUAGACCUAACAGAGUCAGGACUACAAGAAGAUAUCAUUAGAAACUCCAGUUUACAGGAUUCUGGUUGUCAGGUUAUCUCCAAGAACUAUAUUCAACAAAAUGCCCAAGACAUUUUCAUUUCUGUUUUUGUCUCUGUGAGGCAACACUACACAAAUGUAGCCAUGCAAAUACCUUUCAAUCAAAAUACAGAGUAUUCACCAGAGCAAUUGUACUUUGACUUGAGUACAUACGUCUAAUAGUUUUUGCUUCUCUGAUAUUCGUGUCCAGUCACAUGUGUGGAAUAACCGCCUUGCUCAGGUUAUUCGUGUGAAAUCUAAAGUUAUAUGUUUGUCGUCUCUCAAACAAAUAGUUCCAGUCAGUAUUUUUCUUUAAAUAUUUGAAUACCUUUCUAGUUGCGUGUUGCACCUUGUCCAACGUAUCUUCCAGGAUUCUAUGGAAAUCAGCCUCGACAGACUCCAUGUUGUUGAACAUGCCAAUAAGACCAGAGCUCAAGCUCAGGAGGAAAUAAUUUGAGUGACAACUAAAUGCAGUUUGGGAGCAAAGACAACUCUGUUGGAGUUUUUUUAAGUAAAAAAGUAAAGGAUGAUUAUCAAAGGUCACCAUUUGAAUUUAUUGUGAUUUUUAGUAAGCUAGGGGUAAUAAAAGCAGCAUCAUGCUGGCCUAAGGGGCGGACAUUAUGAGUAACCUUGGAUGUUGAAUGCAGAUUAAUAAAGGCCUACUAAAAAUAAAACAAACAUGAGUCACUGCUUUUUUCUUCUCAUUUCACAAGCAGUGGCACUCGUCCAGGCAGCGUUUCAUCCAGUGCAUCCAUGGAGAGGGUCCUGAAACGCUUGGCUCACCAGCACAAAACAUGGCCAAUAGUUACUUUUAUUCACUGUUUUUUUUUUCAUCUUUUGUUUUGGUUCUCAGCAGCUCUAAUUCUGCACGUUCUUUUGUUAUGAUGUUCAAUACAAUAAAAGUGGAAUUGCAGGUCUAUUUUGGUUCAGAAGUGAGUAAAUUACAGAUAGCCUUGGCUCAUGUUGUGUUGCUGGUGAUGUGUACGAUUGUGUAAUCGCUGUAAGUUAAACCUCUUUGAAUCGUCUUCAAAAUGUCCCGAAUUUGGUGACAUAUUUUUGAACCAGUACAAAGAGUAAGAACAACAUUGAAAAGGAUGUGUAUUUCAAUAGCGGGCAUUGAAUUCUGAAAUGAGUUAACAGAAGAAAUAAAGGACAGUAGUAAUGUAAACCAGUUUAAAAUAAAACUCAAAAAAGAAAUGUUAAAUAAGUAUAAGAAUGAAGAAAAUGCAAUUAACCCAGGACGGCAUGCAAACUGAUGUUUAAUCUCUUCUGCAAAUUAGAAAAUCUAAAUAUAGUUCUAGUUGAACAUGAGAAUUUUAUUUAUUUAUUAUUGUUAUUUUUUGUGGUUUUUUUAAGGCAUUGUAACUGUUUUGUUGUUUAAAUUUUGAUGAUGAGGAUGUAAACCUGAGGGGGUAGGGCUAAAUAAGUAUACACUUCUCCCUACUCCUUUUCAAACAAUUGCGUGGAAUGAUUUUAUGAAAUGUUGGUGAAUGUGUAUGUUUGAAAUAAAGUGAACUGAACUGAACUGAACUGAACUGAACCAACAUUGACAGGCGCACUAACAUUACAACCAUUCUGGCAGAUUUGCACUGGCCUCCGGUGUCCCAUCCUGUGAUAUUUAAAGUCCUGGUUUUUGUUCAUGAAAGCGUUCAUGCCCAGGCCCCUCCAUGAUAUCGUCACCGCCUACGUCCCACCGCGACCCCCUAGGUCUGCUGAGUUUUUGCUCCUGCAAAAAUAUAACAACCAACUCAAAUUUUAUGUUCAAACCAAAUGAAACAAGGAGAGCUUGGAUUAGGGGUGUAUUUACUCAUUGGUGUGUGAGCAUGUGUGCAUGUAAGCAACCAUUCGUCUCCAGAGUCCUUGUGUUUGUGGUGCAUCUGACGCUGUGGGAUCAGUCCUGCUGAUGGAUGGCCUUACAUCCCGUCUUGCGUGACUGGCUAGUCAGAUAGCCAUCAGUAGCCAAAUGAGUGCAGGUCAGGCCUCUGCGCUUCAGUCUAAAACUCAUUUGGUAUGCAAAUGAAACGUCUAAACAAAGCAAACCUUUCAGAGCAGAGAAAUUCACCACCUGCUUCCUUUGAAAAGUCCAAGCUUUGCUUAGGUUUGGAGACGUGAAAAAAAAGUGCGACUAAAAGAAAGUUUACGAAUUAAUGAGCAAGCCUUACCACCGUUAACAAAUCAGAGGCAGCUCAAUAAAGUGUUAAAUGGCAGCAAAGAGGGGUGACGUUUCAAAAUAUGAGUUUGAUUUUUAUUCAUUGCUUUUUUUUAGAAUUCAAGGCUAAAUUUUUGAGUUUUAACCUUUUGAAAUCUGCUAGCUGACAAUCAGAGGCCAUGCCUAUCUUAGCUCACAAAUGAGUUUGCUGCAGCGUCAAUGAGUUUUUCCGUGUUUUGGGAACACCUGCUCACCAAACAGACCGGUUAUUGUUUGUAGCUUUAACUGAGGCCUAACUAUCCCAGAAUAUAAAGGAUAAAGUUGGAUUUCCACCAGUUUGUGUUUGUUUGGUUUUAUUCAGCUCCUAGGUUCAAACAAUUGUUCCCCUCCAUCUUUGCCUGUGCAGUUUUACAGCAACUUCUGCCACGCCUCAGCUGAAACAGGAUCCGUCUCUGGCAUUGUGCUUAUUGUUGAGGGUCUAAUCUCGACAAUUACACCCCAGGACCGAAAGUGACCGCCGUGCCAAGAAUCCGCCCAACUUCAGGCCAGGCUAAGGAUUGGAACCCCCUGUUGGAGCCCCCGGAGCGGUCAAAUCCCUGUCAGGCUUUUCAUCACAGCUUCUCACAUCCCCAAACUGACCUUAAAGUGUCAGCGUGUCUGUCUCAGAUUUUACUCACCUACAUUUUGUUCUCCGCUAGGUCAUCGUUUCAAGACAACAAAGGUGCAUAGAGAGGGAUGUACGGAGAGCAAAAGGCAGGUUUUUGGGGUUGUGCUGUGCUUGAGUCAAUGAAAAGUAGGUACAAGUUGGUGUGUGUGUGAUGAUACUUUAAAGAAAUACCGGUUUCAUGGUGUAUUUUCUUUGUGCAGAAAUGAUGGGUGUGUUCGGUAAUUUGGGCUGAUGGAGGAUUUUGUUGUUGUCUGUGUUGUAAUAUGAACAGAGGAGGUCGUUCCCACUGAAGCUGGAGCUGACAUCAUAAAAAGGUACCUGGGGGGCGAAGAGGGUGGAGGUGAGCUAAUCGGUGAGGUGGGACUUGGGGAGGGGUGGGAGGAGUUGGGGGAAAGUUUUGUCUCUUCCACCAUUGGCUAAACAGCACGGGGGACACACCUGUGAGCGCCAGAGGCUAAGGAGAUUGGCUGUGAUCUGAAAAUUACACCUGUGGGGGAAAAGAGGAGGAGGGGAGGUCAGGCUACAUGUAAACCAAGCCCUUUACAAACUCAGCCUCUGUCUUCUUGAGGAGCUUAACAGCUUCAGACCACAAAGGAGAACUCACGGAAAAACAGCAAGUUUUGCUUCGGCGAACGGAAGAUAAGCGACGCGCUCCAACCUGGCCGAUGUUGUUCCUGGGCUCUGCUCUUCUUUUUUGAGAGGGACGGCUUCUUUUUUUGUUUUUUUUUUAUCACUCCUGAGGUCAGCUGUCCUUCAGCAGGGGCAGGAAAGAGGAAGACUAGCCAAAGGGGCGUCAAGAGCCCGACACAAUGAUGCCUCUUGUCUUGGGUUUCUGGCUCGGUGACCGCACCUGGGAAGGACUGGAGGGGCCUGCAGCGUGGUUUAUAACGCUGAUGAUUAACUAAAUAAGAGUCUGGGAGAGCAGGUCUGCUUGGCUUUCUCAUUUCAUGGGGCCGGCCUGGCUGGGAGGAAGACGGAGCGUUCUCAAGCUGGAAAUUCAAGAUCUCUUUCUCUUUUCAGCAGCCUCCCUCUGAACAUGUUGGCUUUCCUUUGGUGUCGUUGCAUUCUUUCUGAGGGGUACCUUUCAUGAUGGUAAGGUUACAGGUGCAUUCUCCACUUUCCUUCUUUCUCCUGAAAGUUUCCCUCCCUUAAACUCUCUACACACUCUCUCUCUCUCCCUCCCCCCCUCUCUCUCCCUAAAACUCAACUUUGCCCGCAGGAUGACCGGAAUCCAUUUAUUUUUGUGUGUUCUUUUUAAACACUUUGGGGGGAAACCAUUUGUUUGAACUUUUCAUGUUGUGGCGAAAACACUGAAAUGCUAAAACAGGUGGUGCGAGGUGUGGGGAUUUCACACUCUGUACCUGCGAAUGAUCCGUGCCAUUCAGUAAACGAGGGCUGUUUCAGUGACCUUCUGCACACAUGCCGCUGGCUCAGGUCGAGCCGAGCAGCAUUCCAGCAGCCUUUCAUCACACAGCAAACACAAAGACGACAGCCGUAGAGGUCCACCAACGGAAAACGGAGCUUUUUAAUUUCUCUGACUGAGUGCAUCAUCCCUCCGAAUGACGCUUAUCGUCACUCAAAUGAAACUCGGUCGCCCGUCUGGUUGGGAUACAGCACCAAGACCGGCUCGUCGAAGGGGGUGACACGCUUUAGACUCGGCGACACUUAAAAACCAGACUUACAGUCAGGCAUUGUGUGUGAAAAGCAGCCCUCCCAGACUCGCCGUGCCGCAGAGUGAGACUAGUCAAAACAGGUUUUGGCAAUCAUUAACAACCUCUGUGACCCAGUCUUCGGUGGCGAGUUUAAACCCCAGGUUUUGAGCAGAACUAUUUUAUUUAUUCAUUAAUCACCACUAAAAUAUAACGGCUUGCUUUGAAACCGAUGAAUAGGACUCCAUGUUUUUUCAGCACAUUUCACCACCAGUCGUAGCUGUAAGCUCCGCAGCUCAGCGUGUAGAUGGCAGACAAUCUUGGGUGUUUAUCUCCAUCUUACGAGGCAGCAUUGGAUAUCAUCACUUUCUCUAAUACUGCCUGGUAAUGAUGAUGAUAAUCAUCUGCUGACUGCAACCAGAGGACCACUUUAGCGCCCCCCCCCCCCCCCCCUACCCCCAACCCCCUUCUGGAUCAGGCAAAAUGCUCAAGAAGCGACAGACUUGGUUCCCAGGAUCCAUCUUACCUGACAGUGCUGGAUUGUACAACUGUUGUUCUAACACUGUCUGGUAACGAUGUUUCCUGGGCGGCUGUGGGACUCCAGUGCAUCAAAGGUGAAAAAUGAAGUGGGAUGACGUUGGGUGCUGUAAAGAGGAGAGCUAGCUCAGAAAUGUUUAGCAGUUUACCCGUGAGUUAAUUCCUAGAAAAGGUGUGCCUUUAUUUUCUUUUGUUGACACCUCAGAGGCCCCAGGCUAUCCUGCUCUGGGGUUAAAACCAGCAUUAAAGGCAGAUGGAUUGCUAUGAUUAGGACAUUUUUAAAUUUGUUUUCAGGUGUAGGCUUAAAUAUUUGUUCUUUUCAUGUCUCUAUUCAUCCCUACCUUUAUUUAAAAAAAGAGGUGUGUGUGUGUGUGUGUGUGUGUGUGUGAAGAAUCUUUACGGCAGCCUCACCCCACCCAAGUUAAAGAAUAGCAGUCGGUUGACGGUUCCACCGGUCCUGCAGGGCCUCAUUUCCUUGUUCCCUCCCCUGAACAGUGUUGGUCUUUGUGCUGUGUAGCAGUGAUUGGUCCACCUAGCUCUACCUGCGUGGCACAUCCUGGAACGGACGCACGAGCUCACCUGAAAUCCGUACAAAAAAAAAAAAAAAAAAAGACGGGGUUUCUCCAAAGUUUUUCAAAGCUUUAGAAUGAAAUUCAGAUAUUCCAGUAGAUUAAUAUCCAGUUUGGAUUACACGUUUGAUUUGAUCAAAUACAAGUUUACGUCGUUAUCUGUAAACUUUACUUUUACGCAAAUAUUUUCUUCAUUCAUCACAUAUAUUAACGUCUUAUUUUUGAAAGGAGUCAAAUUUUCGGCCAAAGCAUCAAAAAGGAUUUAAAAGAAUAAAAAAGCUGAAGCACUGCUUGUUAAAGGAGGAGGGGAUACCCCACAAAUAUUAAACCACACCUUUAUUUGCCCACCCGGCGCCAUUAUUGCAGUGACAUGAAAAGACAUUUUUUUCCUUUCCACUCCUCUUUCACGUUUGUGCUGUUGCCACAUGAGAAAGACCGCCAGAAAAAGCCCCUCUGAGCCUGACCAAGCUUACCUUUCUGUAUUUGAUCUCGGCCUGUUCUCUCUGCGUUCACUCACUCUCUGCAUGCUUGGCCAGUUGAAAUGUACCGACGACAGAAAGUACAUUGUUCUGAGCAUCACGGCAAAAGAGGAAGUGCUCGUUUCAGCCUGUUUCUACGCUGUUCUGUUUCCUCUUUGCACAGAUGAAAAGUCAGAGGUCAUCCUUCCAGCCUGUUGAUUGGCGUCUUACCAGACAAGGUUAGAUGUAAAUAUUGGUGUCUAAUACUGUCUGGUAAUGCCGUCCAUUAAAUGGCAUUACCUUCCACUCUCUUACUUCCCCUCCUCUUGCUCUGUGCAGCAUAUUGACGAAAGACAGACCAGAGAGGCACAUAUUAAAUCUAGUGGCAGAUUGUGCUGAAUGGUGAUGAUAAUGGAACUAUGAUCCUUGCACUGGAAGAUGGAUUGAGUCCUUGUGGUUUCUUCCACGUGACACGAGUCAAAGUUUCUCCUUUAAGCAGCAAUCUGGACCUCAUGGAGCUCAUUUUUGAACAGAAAAAGCUUCUGCUUUCUUCUUUUUUCCAGCUACUGAGCAAUAAUGUCAAUCCAGCCGUGUGCCGUGAUGCUCUGUAACGUGAAUAAAUGAUUCAAUAAAUGGUUUGAGACAGGAAAAGUUCUUCUUGUGUUUUUUUAUCUGUGGAAGUUUUGCUGAUGAUGGGGAACUCUUCCCUCGGCUACACCGGAAUGCCGUGCCUCAGUCAGGUGUGGAUCGGGUUACCGGCUAAACAGAGCUUCCUUUUAAAUGCCUCAAUUUACCCAUGAGGGUCCCUCCGGCAGCUAAGCCCUCAUUGUGCCCAGCUCCCUGAUAAACCGAGCAGCACAAGGCACGCUCCGAAUCCUGGAACUUUCUGAUCACUUGGUUUUUUUUUAAUAUAUUUUACAAAUUUAGUGGGAAACUUCUCUUUCUCUGGAACAGAUCUUCCCCUCUUGCAGCAACGGGGACAACUCAGCAGUAUGGAUGUGGAGUUUAAUUUGCCCUAUUAGCCAAAGGUUUCAGUUGACUGUUCAAAUGCAGCCCUGAUUUUAUCAGUUUGAAUGCAAACACAAAAAAACCAUUUAGCCGUUUAACAUAAGAGGCCUCAAGCCUCAUCGACACCCACUUCCACCACACACACACACACACACACACACACACACACACACACACACACACACACACACACACACACACACACACACACACACACACACACACACA